ACAAGCUACCCUACAAUGAGCUGAGCAAGUAUCAACUGUAAUUUGAUCCUAGAGUUUAUGGAAAAAAAUAACUGCACAUACUCAACAUGCACAUUUAAUAAAAAUCUGUUUCAAGAGAAACAUAUCCAAUAAACACAAUUUAAGGCAUAUUUAACUGUUCAAUUAACCUCAAAUCUGCAAUCCCUUUGCUCUCACGCUCUCAAAUAAAAUAGGAAGAAAAAAAAAAGCAGCAGCCCUACUGCAGGGAAAAGAGGCUUGAAAAACAACUUUGAUUGGCACUUGGCCUGACCCACAGAGGAAGAAAAACAGUUUUUGGACAAAGAGCGCAAAUAUUUGAGCUUGCUUACUUAUGUGCUUUUUUCUUUCUUCCUUUUUUAAAAAAAAAUGUAGAAAGAACAAUCCCAAAGUGAACCGUAUUUAGAGAUGUUGACUAAAAACGGUACCAUAUUCAUCUCCGCUUUCAGUCCCGAUGCAUUUGCACAGCUCAGCAAUUUUAAUUCAUUUGUAGUGAACAAACAGAAGCAUCUCACCUAACGUUUCCACUUAAUAAAAUGUAAAAAUAGAGUUUGAAUACGAAUAAACUGAUUAUAAUAUUACUUUGGGGCAGCUGUUAAAAUCUGAUCAAAAAGUCUAGAGACCUUUUUUUCAUUCCCUUCCCCAUCCCUCUCGCCCUUCCCCGCGGGGCGAUUAAGCCAAGUAAGCUAAACAAUACUGGAGUAAACUUUCUAUCAGUCACUCUAGGAAGCAGCAAUAAACUGAUGGUGCGCCUCAUUUUUCUGGAUCAACACGGGGGCAGGGGGGUGCUAAGGAGGAAUAACCCACAUCCACCUCAGUCUUCUCCUCCCCCAACCCCAGCCUCAGGAACUGGCCAGGUCGAAUUGCAUUUCCCAUGGGCAUAAAGUUCAAGAUGCUUUACUGGUUCCUUUCGAGACUGAACUACAGACACAGGACUACCAUCCAAACAAUUUGAAAACGGGGGUUGUUGAGCAAGGCGCGCAAGGCAGAAGCAACCGAAUAAACAAAAACAACACUCGCAAGAGUUAGCCACAGCAAAGAGGGGCCAGGUUCCUCGGGAUCCGACCCAGCUGCUCUGAUUUCACACCGACCUCCAUCAACAGCUAAACUGCACAGGGAGGAGGAUCGAACGGAUCCCUCCCGCCCUCCGCCCAAGGAGCCGACCCGGGGUAGCAAGGUAGGGAAAUGAGCCGUAAAGGAGAGCAAAGGCACCAAAUAAAAGGAACAAGGGAAGAAAAAAUAUCCCAACCCCUCCAGACUUGGGUCUGUCCCGGCGGAAAUAAAAAGCCGCAGUAGUCCAAACCCUCCUGCCCUCAACCCACGCCCCCUUUCUCAGUCCCUGCGGAGGGACGGUGCCCGGGGAUCCCUCUCAGCCUCCCCCAGUGCGCGCCCGGGGACGAGCCGCCCGAGCCCCGGCCGGCAGGAAGCGACCCUCGCCGGCAGGACCCCGGGCCGAACCCGUACCUUCCGCAGCACUUUCCGGCAGUUGGUACAGAGCAGGUAGUUGGCGGCGGCCGACGGGCUGCCGCCGCCCCGGUUCAUCGUGGCUGCGGGCGCCGAGGCGAGAGCGGGCGGAGGGCCGGGUCCGGGCUGUCACUGCGGCCACUGCAGGGCCGGUCCGUCCCCCCGCCGCCAGCCGCGAUUCCGCCUCAGCCUCCUCAAGGCGGGAUGUCGGGAGGAGAGGCGACUGCCUGAAAGCUAGCGGCACUGCCAGAGGCGACCACCGCGGCAGCUGCCCCAGCGACGGCGGAGACGGCGGCGGCUGCUCCUCACCGGCCCGUUGUUCCACCCGCCCCCAUCUUCCAGACCCCCGCCCCCGCCAGGCUAGGACGAGCAGCCGCCACCGCUGCCACCGCCACCACCGCCGCCGCAGCGCCUCAGUGCGGCCCCGCCUCCGCCGCCCCACCACCUUCACCACCUCCACGCUCCGGUACCGCCCCUCCCGCCAAUCGGACAGCUCCGGCUACGCCCCCAGGGCGCUAGCCCGCAGCCAAUGAGCAACGAGAGCCCGACUGGGAGUCGCGCCGGCCAAUCGCAGGGGCCGAGGAAGCCUUGAAUCUCCGGGCAAGUUAAGUUUAUCUCCGAGGCUCGGAACUGAAGGGAGGUGGCGGUUAGCUAAGUAGUAGGGUAGCAGGGAACAGUUUGCUCUCCUCUGCCAAUAAGAGGACGAGGGUGUGUCAUAUGCAAAUAUACUGCCCUCCAAGCCCCACCCCCAAGAUAAGCUACGCCCCCUUCUCUAGGUCCCUGCAGAAGUGGUGAGGAGAAUGAGAUAAAUAGUUGGGAGCUAGAGCUCGCUAGAGAGUCUAAGAUUGAGCUAAAUAUUUCCUGAUCUCUCGAGAAAGGGGGAGGGGAGUGGGAGGAUUAAAUGUUCCUUCCUUCAGGGCAGUGGUUAGGCUUUCUCUCCACCAAAAUCUAACUUUAGCUGUAAAGAAGACUGCAGUUAUGUAGUACUUUGUAUCCAGGGAUCUCAAAGAACUUUACGCAUCAUUUAUUGUGAACCUUGUUUUGCAAAGAUUUCAGUUACUUGAGGCUUGGGAGGCGGAUAGGGGAUAAAUGUCUGAGUUAUAUAUAUAUUUACGCAAGUAAUCGAGUUUGAGGGGAGAGACACAAAACCUCUGGUUUAGCGGUUUCCUCUUGUUUGUGAAGCACCUUCUAGCAGUUAUCUUAGAGAUGUAAGUUCAUUUACUUGUCCAGCACUAAAAGGCCAAAGGGGCUUGUUUUCUCACCCAAAAGACCUUCCUGAGGCAGCUGUUCGGAUACAUGCAGAGCACAGCGCCCUGCUCAGAAAGGAAGGUUCAGAGAACAAAUUGUCGUUUAAAACUAUUGGGACAAACCUACCUCUUCUAAAGCUUAAAAUGGUAAGUCAGGGUUUUAGCGUCCACGUUCUGCGGAGAGAAGGCAGACUUGACUGGGGAAAGCGCAGGCUGACCGAGUGUGGCGGGACAGACGGGUAGGGGAGCCAGGUCUCCCGAAGGGGCUAGCAAUGCGCGUCCGAGUCGAAUGCGGGUUCCCGAUGCUAGACGCCCGCAACCUGCUCCCGAGUGAGAACAAAGGCCGGCGCAGAGCGAGAACCUGAUUGGUGCCCGGUCCUCACUCGUGUCCUCCGGGCCCCAGAGAUAACUUGCAUCGCCUACUGGCAAGGAGCUCUGUGCUCACUGGAGCCCAGCUCCCCACCCGGCCAUGGCCGUGGCCACAGGACUGUGCAUUAUGACAUCACCUGUUUUCGAUUUUUAGAACCUAAUCAGUAUUCUCGGCUUCUCCCUUUUUAAAGGUCUCCAGCGUACCAGGAUUUGUGAAGGCCUGAAGUUCGUAGAAUGAAAUCUAUGUGGAGAUGAUUUAAAAGAACGGUUUCACUGAGACCAACACAUAUAAACCAAGUCUACACAAGAAACAAAGCUAAAAUCCUUUCGAAAUGAGUUCCUUUAAGUUCUUCAGUAACUAAAUCCUCCAGAAAGGAAAGCCGAGAGAAUCUAGUCCUAUACAAUAACACCCUCUAACAAAGAUCGCUAAAGGAAGAUUUUAGUAGAUGAAUAUCUUCAAUAAUACAUGGUCACAUACAUGUAUCUGACCAUAUGAUGGCUCUCUGCACCAAAUUCCUCCAAACUAUUAUAAUAUGUAUUGUCUGUAGUGCUAUUUAUUUGGCAGUUAAUCAUGUAUUACAUUGUGACAUUUCUUACAGUGAACCAUUAUGUAUGUGUUUAUGUUCUGCCCUCAACUACUCAAUGCCAGUACCUUAUUCUUAACACAGCAACCACCCUUUCUGGUCUGUCCUCACACCCUCAUUCCCAUCAUAGUUAUUCUCCUCUCUCAUGGAAAUGUUCAGUUUCUGGACAUCUCCUUUCUCUUCCAUUCUUCACCUGACCUUCCUUCCUUUCUUGGCCAGCCUGAAUAUUAUAAAGGGAAUUUUAUUUCAAACCCAGGAUCGCACUUAAGAGGAAAAGAAACAAAAGCCAGUUCUUUUUAUUGCACAUAGAACAAGGAGAAACUCCACCCCUUUUGUUGUCUGGUAUGUUUAAAACAAGAAAGAACUUUAGAAAAGUAGGAUAUGAGUGAAAAUUACAACCAAUGUUGAGAACUACUUUUUAAUUUUUUAUUACAAAAUUAGGAUGAUACUUCAUUAAACAUUGUACAUCAUUUCAAAACUGUUAUCUCAUAAUCAUGUUGCUUGUUUUGAAUUAUUCUUUUAAAGUGUAAUUUUUUUAAGCAAAGAAUCCAUAAAAUUACAUGGCUUGGAUGUACCAUAACUUACUUAAUCCUUAUGCUAUUGUUUAAUAUGUGGGUUGUUUCAGAUUUUUCAUGAUUGUAAAUAACAAAAUAAACUUCCUUAUACUUAAG
rnacentral:lncRNA from 1 species